rnacentral:rRNA from 1 species
GAUGAACGCUGGCGGCGUGCUUAACACAUGCAAGUCGAACGAAGCACUUUAUUUGAUUUCCUUCGGGACUGAUUAUUUUGUGACUGAGUGGCGGACGGGUGAGUAACGCGUGGGUAACCUGCCUUGUACAGGGGGAUAACAGCUGGACACGGCUGCUAAUACCGCAUAAGCGCACAGCAUCGCAUGAUGCAGUGUGAAAAACUCCGGUGGUAUAAGAUGGACCCGCGUUGGAUUAGCUAGUUGGUGAGGUAACGGCCCACCAAGGCAACGAUCCAUAGCCGACCUGAGAGGGUGACCGGCCACAUUGGGACUGAGACACGGACCAAACUCCUACGAGAGGCAGCAGUGGGGAAUAUUGCACAAUGGGCGAAAGCCUGAUGCAGCGACGCCGCGUGAGCGAAGAAGUAUUUCGGUAUGUAAAGCUCUAUCAGCAGGGAAGAUAAGGACGGUACCUGACGAAGAAGCCCCGGCUAGAUACGUG